GAGGAUAUAGUUCAGUUGGUAGAGCGCCAGAUUGUGGCUCUGGAUGUCGUGGGUUCGAGUCCCACUAUUCUCC
rfam:Faecalibacterium sp. CAG:74 genomic scaffold, scf34